rnacentral:rRNA from 1 species
AGAAUCAACGCUGGCGGCGUGCCUAACACAUGCAAGUCGAACGAGAAAGUGGAGCAAUCCAUGAGUAAAGUGGCGACCGGGUGAGUAACACGUGACUAACCUACCUUCGAGUGGGGGAUAACCUCGGGAAACCGAGGCUAAUACCGCAUAACAUCGUGAGAUCAAAGCAGUAAUGCGCUGGAAGAGGGGGUCGCGGCUGAUUAGCUAGUUGGCGGGGUAAUGGCCCACCAAGGCGAAGAUCGGUAGCCGGCCUGAGAGGGCGCACGGCCACACUGGAACUGAAACACGGUCCAGACUCCUACGGGAGGCAGCAGUGGGGAAUUUUGCGCAAUGGGGGAAACCCUGACGCAGCAACGCCGCGUGGAGGAUGAAGUCCCUUGGGACGUAAACUCCUUUCGACCAAGACGAUAAUGACGGUACUGGUGGAAGAAGCACCGGCUAACUCUGUGCCAGCAGCCGC